AAGUUAGGGUUAUUGUUGCGCUUUCUUCUCUGUUUCUGUUGGCCUCGAGGGGGAAGAAGAGGAUGGCGCUGACCAACUUCAUCGUGACGGUCGUGGGGGUGACGGCGGCCGUGCUCCUCCUCCGCAGCGACGUCAAGCAGUCCGCCGCCAUCUUUCGCCGCAACGUCCGCCACAUCCGCCAGUGGCUCGAAGAAGAGUCCGCCUCCGCCGCCAAAUCUGUGGAGCGAUCGGCACCCAAAGAGUUGGAUUCUCAGGCUCCAAGGAAAGAGAUUCACAAGGAUGAGAAGCACUAGAAUGGUAAGGAUAAUGAACCAACUUUCCACUGCAAAGAACAUAUCCGCUAAUAUGUUUGUGUAGCGUAGACUAUCAUCAAGCAACUAUCACUGUAACUGUACACCCUUGGAAAGAAAGGUCUUAAUAUGAAAAUAUUUUGGGCGUGAUGAAAUGCAUGGGCGAAAAGUGAACUUGAAACGGAUGAAUCGGGGAAGUUAGUUUGCCGUGGACGGCACAACUCCCCAAUUCUCUGCAUUCGUGCCACGUGGCAGCAGCGAUUUAAAUCCUGUUAUAAGCUUACGUGGACGAAAUAUCAGAAAAAUCAACAUCUU